CAGCCGCCGCGGUAAUACGGAGGGAGCUAGCGUUGUUCGGAAUUACUGGGCGUAAAGCGCACGUAGGCGGCUUUGUAAGUUAGAGGUGAAAGCCUGGAGCUCAACUCCAGAAUUGCCUUUAAGACUGCAUCGCUUGAAUCCGAGAGAGGUGAGUGGAAUUCCGAGUGUAGAGGUGAAAUUCGUAGAUAUUCGGAAGAACACCAGUGGCGAAGGCGGCUCACUGGCUCGGUAUUGACGCUGAGGUGCGAAAGCGUGGGGAGCAAACAGGAUUAGAUACCCGAGUAGUCCCUGUCUUUAUACC
rnacentral:rRNA from 1 species